CCCAUAUUGAACCGUAAACCCACAUUGGUCUUAUUGGGAAAGUGGCGUCGUUCCUUCUUGUAUACCUUCGAAUCGUGUAUACGGUUUCCCUGGCGUCGUUCCCAGGAAUUCGAUGUCGAUUUCAUCGUGGUUUCCGGGGUAAUAUUGGUUGUUCGAAAGCUAAAUCAGAAUAAAGUUAAAACACGUGUAGCCGGAUUGGAGUUUUACAGCAACACCAAAGUAACCGGAUCGGUAUGAGCGCAGUGAUUUAAACCCGCUACCUGUUCGACGAAAUGACGCACAGAGAAAAAUCAGCCAAAAUACCAAAAUGGGAAUGAGUAAAGCUUGCAAGCUAUGGCUGCUGCUCUCCAUGAUUGAUGUCACAGAAAAUGACCCAACUUGAGGCUCCAUUGAUGAUGUUUGGCGAUUUGAAUAUCAGACUCAACGAGAAGAAGGUAAAUUAAUGCGUCGAAGGGUAUAGGAAUCAUCGCAUGUCCUAGAAGAUUAGACACUACAAGCCAUACUUCGAUGUAAGAC